UACGAAGGGGGCUAGCGUUGUUCGGAGUUACUGGGCGUAAAGGGCGCGUAGGCGGCGCAUCAAGUCAGGCGUGAAAGCCCUGGGCUCAACCCGGGAAUUGCGCUUGAGACUGGUGUGCUUGAGUACGGGAGAGGAUAGUGGAAUUCCCAGUGUAGAGGUGAAAUUCGUAGAUAUUAGGAAGAACACCAGUGGCGAAGGCGGCUCACUGGCCCGGUACUGACGCUGAGGCGCGAAAGCGUGGGGAGCAAACAGG
rnacentral:rRNA from 1 species